GUGCUCACUUGGGCAGCACAUGUACUGACACUGGAACGAUACAGAGAAGAUUAGUAUGGGGCCUGAGCAAGGGUGACAUGCAGGUGUGUGAAGUAUUCCAUAUUAAA